rnacentral:misc_RNA from 1 species
GAUGAAGAACGUAGCGAAAUGCGAUACGUAGUGUGAAUUGCAGAAUUCAGUGAAUCAUCGAAUCUUUGAACGCACAUUGCGCCCGCCAGUAUUCUGGCGGGCAUGCCUGUUCGAGCGUCAUUUCAACCAUCAAGCCCCCGGCUUGUGUUGGGGACCUGCGGCUGCCGCAGGCCCUGAAAUGCAGUGGCGGGCUCGCUGUCACUCCGAGCGUAGUAGUUACAUCUCGCUCUGGGCGUGCUGCGGGUUCCGGCCGUUAAAAGCCUUAUUUACCCAAGGUUGACCUCGGAUCAGGUAGGAAGACCCGCUGAACUUAAGCAUAUCAAUAAGCGGAGGA